UCGAGAUUGCACCACUGCCCUCCAGCCUGGGUGACAAAGGUAAACUCUAUCUAAAAAGAAGGAAAAAGAAAAGCUAAGCAUGGGCUUAAUUUCUCUGAGGUUUAAAGCUGCAAAGAGUUACUCUUCAUGAAGUAGGUGGGAUCCCAGCUGGGCCGUGAAAUGUGAGUGGGAUUUGGUCAGCUGGUGGAAGUUGAAGGAAAAUUAUUUAUGUAGGUGACAGGUAAACACAAUCAGGUAUCUAGGAAAGAGAAUGAGGGAUUCGGAGUGUAGGAGACCAGUUGGAGCUAUAACACAAGAAUGAUAGGAUUCAUGUCAAAAGUUUGUAGGAAAUAGUGCUGGCGUAAUAUCUUGUACUCAAACAGUUCCAUGGAUUGGUGACAGAUCUUUUGUUUUUCUUUUUUGGGGUAAGUCAACUAUGAUGCCUGGAUAUUCAUCUAUCUAUGUAACCGAUUGAGAAACAGGGGAGUAACAGUAAAGAAACUGUCUUGGAAUCAAUCUGGUGGCAGCAGAAGAGAAUAUGAGACACAUUGCCCUCACAGAGCUUGAAGAGUGUGACAGUAGUUGAGGGCCACGCUGUUGUCUUAGAGUGAAGGGAGGAGAAGCUACGUUGGUUUGGUAGUCAUGGAGGUGGAAGGAGGAAUGAAAUGUGAAAGCCCAUUGGCAGCAGAAUCAAAAUGGCUUGGUCUUUGUAGUCCACUAUUAAGUGAGGAGGAGGAAUUAUUGGCUGACUUAGGAAGAAGUAAAAAAUGGGAAAUACCAAUAAAACACAAAGCUUGUGAUUUUAGUCAGGAGAAAGCUUCAGCAUUGUGUGAUUCUAGAUAGAUUAUUCAGCAGUUUUGUUCCAUGUAUUUUAUAUUCCAUAUCUUCUAGCUAUGACCCUAUUUCUUUAUUUCUUGACAUAGCCAAACAUUUUUCAAACUGACAGCUUUAUUGUGACACAGUUUUCAUGUGAUAAGCCUCGCUCUUCAAGUGUGCAGUUCAGUGGUUUUUAGUAUAUUCAGAGUUAUGCAACCAUUACCACUGCCGAUUUUCAGAACAUUUUCAUCUCCCUAAAAAGAAAUCCCGUACCCAUCAGCAGUCACGUACCUGUCUCCCCCACCCUUGAUCCUGGCAACCUCUGAUCUAAUUUCUAUCUCCGUAGAUUUGCCUGUCCUGGACAUUUCAUAUAAAUAGAAUCAUACAAAACGUGGCAUUUUGUGACUGGCUUUUCUUUACAGUGAUUAUAAAUCAAAUGCCUGAAGAGGCUACGCUUAGGAUAGGAUUUGCUGUACAACUUUGACAACUAAACUUUUUUAAAGUUGAAAAUAUGACCGUGUCUAUAUAUGUGGCAUAUUGUCUUAGGUGACCCUUACUUGGAUUAUUAAGAAUUUUUUCUCCUAGUGUUCUUGAACUGUCUCAAUAUUCAGCAGGAACCCUUUGGAGACAAAGAGCAGUAAGAACGUGGAACACAGAUUGACAAAAUGAAGGUAUGUAUUGGGUGGAGGAGCAUUACGUAUAGAACUUCUCACAAAACAGGUGAUUAUUUUCUUAUAAUAUUCAAUUUUCACCCACAAUAGAGUGUUUCGAUUACGGGAAGUUAGGUUGUAAGUAGAAGGUUCUCUUAAAGAAGUUUUGGUGUUUUUUUGUUUUUUGGGUUUUUUUUCAUAGCUCCUACUUUCAAGAAUGAAAAAGGUAAACCAGUAAAAUCAGAUUAUACUUGGUGCUGAAUCUAUGCUAGGAUCGGCAUUGAGAGUGACCUUUAUUUAAAGUUCUAAUUUGCUCACGUUGGGCACUUAGAACGUCAGUUUGUUGUUUCUUGUGAGAUUCUGGAAAUGGUCCAAUUUUACUUUUUCCCCUUGUCUCCAGGCUUUUUAACACUGAUCUGCUGCUGUUGAGGUACUUGCCAUUUCGUUAGGCCUUCUCAAGUGGGAAUCAGGAAUGCUGCUGUGUUCUAGAGAUGUUUUGUUCUUCCUGUAGGGCUGAAGCAGUGCCUACUCAAUAGAACCGGUCAUCGUGCAAAGAAAUGCCACCUGACUCAAAGGCAAAGCCAGAGUGCAGCUUGGCACAAAGAAG